GGGUGGAAAUGAGGGCACAAUCUUUGUGGAUAUAAAGAAGGCAUCUUAUAUCGGAUUUCUUAGGGAUAUAAAGAUUUAUUUGCCUUAUAAAUUUCAGAAGCUGCUAUAUUGUAUUACUAGGAAAGACUUAAGUGAUGGUUUGAGAUGCUUAGAAGAUGAUAAUGGUCUUAGGGAUGUUCUAUACCAUUAUCUUCAUGGUGAAGAGGUAAAAAUAUUUGUUGAGUACAAUAGUGAAAGUGAGGAUGAAGAUGAUGAUGGAGAGAGCGCCGGAGUAGGACAAGAAGGAGAUGGUAUUCAAGGUAGUACUGACAUUAAGGUCAAAGGAGGGCAGGAUAGAUAUGAUGGACAUGAGAGAAGCGUAGAUGCAGUUCACCGAAGUGAUGAUGACAUAGGUGAUGUCACAAUCUCUGGAUUAGAUUGGGAAGUAGCUGAAUCAACUGAUGAUGAUGAUGAUGGAGGGUUGCCUACUGAAAAUUUUAUAAGUGACGACGAGGAGGAGGAGAUGAAUCAACUGAUGGAGGGUUGUACUUCUUUGAAUUGAUUAAGCUGAUGCCUCAGAUGAAUAUUACUCAAUUCAGGAUGUUGGUAAAGGAGCAAGUAGGCAUCAAUAUAUUCAAGAAUCAAUGUAAAAGAUCAAAGCAAAAGGUGAUGAAGAUACUCAUUGGUUAGUACAACGGUGAAUACGGAUAGUUGUGGGACUAUGCUUGGGAGUGUAGACUACAAAAUCUUGGAAGUAGAGUGUAUGUAGAGGUUGUGGAGAUACCACUUCCUGAUAUUGGGACGAAGUUCGAUAAAUUAUAUGUUUACUUCGAUGCAUGCAAACGAGGAUUUUUAUCUAGUUGUAAACGGAUUAUAGGAUUGGACUGGUGUUUUUUGAAUGGCUUGUGCAAGGGAGAAUUGCUAGCCACAAUUGGAAGAGAUGCAAACAACCAAAUGUUUCCCCUGGCUUGGGUUGUUGUGAAGGUAGAGAACAAGGACAAUUGGUCCUGGUUCCUCAAAAAUUUGAUGAAUGAUUUGGAGAUAACAAAUGGGGGCAAGGUGGGCAUUCAUGAGCGACCAACAAAAGGGACCGGUUCCAGUAAUAGCCGAGUUGUUGCCUUAUGCUGAACAUCGAAUAUGUGCGCGGUACAUAUAUGCAAAUUGGGUAAAGACCUAUAAAGGGGACAAGUUGCAAGCGCAAUUUUGGCAGCUAGCAAAGAGCAUGAAUAUGGCUGACUUUAGGAUGGCUAAAAAAGAGAUGCUUCAAUUGACAAAGGAUGGUUAUGAUGCACUGUCCCAAACAGACCCGAAGCAUUGAUGUAGGGCGUUCUUUAGCGAGGAAUUCAAGUGCGAUAACAUUGAUAACAACAUCUGCGAAUCAUUCAAUGGGAGGAUAAUAGAUGCCAGAUGCAAACCAAUUAUCUCGAUGCUUGAAGACAUACGGGUUUUGGUCAUGACUUGGCUGCACAGACAAAGAGAUGAGACUGCAAAGUGGACUAAGCAAUAUGGUCCUAGGAUUGCUAAGAAAUUGGAUGACAACUUAGCUGCAAGUAGGUAUUGUCAUCCCAUUUGGAAUGAGGAUGAAUGAUAUGAGAUAAUGAAGGGUUCCGAUAAGUAUGUUGUCUAUUUAGGUACGAUAAAGUGUUCAUAUA